AAGCUUAGUGUUGCUUCAUCUAACGGGAAGGAGCUAAUCCUAGCACGAUUCAAGUUGCUGAAGACGUUGAUUUGACUCUAACGACUAAUACAGAGACACUGGAACAAGAUGACGACUCACUAAAGAAGCUAGGGCCUCAACACAAGAUGGCCUCAUGUUGUUAUAGUAAAGGAACCACUGGAGCAUUUUUUAUAUUAACAACAACUACAUUUCUUUCUUACGAGGGAUUUGUAAUGAGCUUGCAUGGGGUCUUGAGAGAAGUAAUUAAAGGAUUGAUUUACUGAUGGUCAUGUACUGUCUCUUUUAAUAUUAUAAAAUUUUUGUAUUUUAAAAUUACCAGCUAUACAGUAUUUAUCUAUCAAUGGAAUUUUGAGUAAAAGAGCUACAUUUAAAAACUUGGCAGACUAUGAUUGACUGACUUCGAGACAGUAAUUAAAAUUAAAAAAAUUAAUUAUUUAAUAACGUAUAGUACCUCUUUCUCUCCAUCUUCUAGGUGAUGUUUUAGAAAUUGUUUAAGAGAAGAUGCUCGUUGAAGUUGUUGCCGUUAGUUACGAGGAGCCACGCCCACU